rnacentral:lncRNA from 1 species
GAGAUCACCCUGGAGGAGAACUCCAAGGGUGGGCGGCUAAUGAGGGUUGGAGAAAGGUGGACCCAUGGGCGGUGGCUGCCCACGGCCUUUGAAGUUUCAUUUGCAGUGUUUUAUGAGCCCAUGCUGGAGUAAAUUGUACCUGCAGGCUGCUGCACUUUGCCCUCCCCAGCAAAAGGAGGUGGAAUUCACACUAGUAAUGUCUGGCUGGAGAACACCCUAGAUGAUGAAUCCAGUGAGGGUCAACAGCAGAGAGGAGCUGCCCAGCAGAGAGGAGCUGCCCACCACACCCUCCACCCCAUCUUCCUGAGCCUUCUGUGGAAGCACUGGUUUGCUAGCCUCUGAAGGGCCAUGGGCCCAGCACCAGGUGCCCUCAGCUCUGAGGCCAGGCCGUUACCUGCAUUCAAGAUGGACACUGGCUAGAGAAAGCAUGUCCACAGGGCUGGUCAGUAGGAAAGGGGUUGUGUUUCUGGAAGGGUGCAUCUAACCCAGGGGUUGGUGAGCAUUUUCCUAACCCAGGGCCAGGUAGUAAACAUUUUUGGCUUUGCCAGUCAUGCAGUCUCUGUCACAGCCACUGCACUCUACUACUUUAGCACAAAAGCAGCCAUAGGCAAUACAUUUAAAAAGACGAGCGUGACUGCGUUCCAAUAAAAUUUUAUUUAUAAAAAACAGACAGCAGGCUGGAUUUGACCUGUGUGUUGUAGUUUGCUAACCUUGCUGAGUAACAUCCCCUGACCCUCACUGGUGGGGCCUGUGUUUUUGCUUUCACAUUUAUUUCACUUGGCAUUCAGGGUAGCCACCAUACACCCCAUGCAAAUGACAAUCCAUAUUGGUCCAGACUUAGUUCCAGAUGAAACUCAUUACCAGAUAGUUCCCAGGCUCAGGGAUAUCAAAUGGGAUCCAGCAGACAGCCACUUCCCACUGAUAAGCAAGGAUUCCAGGUCUGAAGGGCAAAUGACGAAAGGGAACCUUCAGUCUGCAGAGAAAAGUCAGAAUCCUUGGCUCCCAAUCAGCAGGUCUUGCAGCAUCUCAGCCCUCACACAAAUCCCUGGGUCUCCAUGAUUGGGUGAGUCACUAAUGGGUUAACAGCUGAGCUCCAUCCUGAAGUUUGGCUCCAGUGCACCUUUAGAAUAACAACCUGGGUCUGGAUUAACAUUCAAGAAAAC